rnacentral:rRNA from 1 species
AGAUCCACAGAAGGGCACAUGGUGGAUGCCUAGGCGCAACAGGCCGAAGAAGGACGCGGCCACGCGGCGAAAUGCACCGGGGAGACGCUGGCAGUCUGCGAUCCGGUGGUCUCCGAAUGGGGCAACCCGUCAGGGUGAUGCCUGACACCCGGCCCAGCCGGGAGGGAACCGGGGGAACUGAAACAUCUCAUGUACCCCGAGGAACAGAAAAGAUUCCCGUAGUAGCGGCGAGCGAACCGGGAGGAGCCGAAACCACACCAGCGCACGAGGCUGCCGCCGCUGCUGGGGUGGGGUUGUACGAGACAUGAGGAGCGACCGGCAGGAAGCUCGUUGGAGGCGGAUGGCAAGCCGAACGCUGCUGGAAGGGGCGACCGGAGGGGGUGAGAGUCCCGUAGGCGAGCGCCAUUCGCGGACGAUGUCAUGUGAUCGUCAGUACCGCCGGACACGCGAAAUCCGGUGGGAAGCAGGGCCGCCCACGGCCCAAGGCUAAAUACCUGUUGCGACCGAUAGCGAACCAGUACCGUGAGGGAACGGUGAAAAGCACCCCGACAAGGGGAGUGAAAGAGACCCUGAAACCAUGUGCCUCCGGCCGGUCGGAGCCUUCUUUGAUGGGGGUGACGGCGUGCCUUUUGUAGAAUGAGCCAACGAGUAAUUCGGCGUAGCGAGGUUAAGGCGGCGUACAGCUGGAGCCGGAGCGAAAGCGAGUCCGAAAGGGCGGAUGAGUUGCGUUGAGUUGACCCGAAACCGGGUGAUCUACCCUUGGGCAGGGUGAAGCGCGCGGAACACGCGCGUGGAGGCCCGAACCCGUGUCAGUUACAAAUGGCAGGGAUGACCUGAGGGUAGGGG